AGCGAACGCUGGCGGCAGGCCUAACACAUGCAAGUCGAACGAAGCCUUCGGGCUUAGUGGCGGACGGGUGAGUAACACGUGGGAACGUACCUUUUGGUUCGGAACAACUCAGGGAAACUUGAGCUAAUACCGGAUGAGCCCUUAGGGGGAAAGAUUUAUCGCCGAAAGAGCGGCCCGCGUUAGAUUAGCUAGUUGGUGAGGUAAAGGCUCACCAAGGCAACGAUCUAUAGCUGGUCUGAGAGGAUGAUCAGCCACACUGGGACUGAGACACGGCCCAGACUCCUACGGGAGGCAGCAGUGGGGAAUCUUGCGCAAUGGGCGAAAGCCUGACGCAGCCAUGCCGCGUGAAUGAUGAAGGUCUUAGGAUUGUAAAAUUCUUUCACCGGGGACGAUAAUGACGGUACCCGGAGAAGAAGCCCCGGCUAACUUCGUGCCAGCCGCCGCCGUAAUAC
rnacentral:rRNA from 1 species